rnacentral:rRNA from 1 species
AUUGAACGCUGGCGGCAGGCCUAACACAUGCAAGUCGAGCGGUAACACAGGGAGCUUGCUCCUGGGUGACGAGCGGCGGACGGGUGAGUAAUGUCUGAGAAACUGCCUGAUGGAGGGGGAAAACUACUGGAAACGGUAGCUAAUACCGCAUAACGUCGUAAGACCAAAGAGGGGGACCUUCGGGCCUCUUGCGAUCAGAUGUGCCCAGAUGGGAUUAGCUAGUAGGUGGGGUAACGGCUCACCUAGGCGACGAUCCCUAGCUGGUCUGAGAGGAUGACCAGCCACACUGGAACUGAGACACGGUCCAGACUCCUACGGGAGGCAGCAGUGGGGAAUAUUGCACAAUGGGCGCAAGCCUGAUGCAGCCAUGCCGCGUGUAUGAAGAAGGCCUUCGGGUUGUAAAGUACUUUCAGCGGGGAGGAAGGCGUUGUGGUUAAUAACCACAGCGAUUGACGUUACCCGCAGAAGAAGCACCGGCUAACUCCGUGCCAGCAGCCGCCGUAA